GGAGAGAUGUCUGAGUGGCUUAAGGAGCACGCUUGGAAAGCGUGUGUAGGGCUUUCCCUACCGAGGGUUCGAAUCCCUCUCUCUCCG
rnacentral:tRNA from 1 species